rnacentral:lncRNA from 1 species
CCCAACUCCGUUUAGGGUGCCAUAACUAGAUUUGUAAUUGCUAGCAAUAACGGAUGGCACCCUCGUCCCUCCAUUGCCAGGAUAAAGGCAGCCAUUUUGAAAUUUCCAAAGUCAAAGAGCGUAUCUACACAUGGAAAUUAUCAUUUUUGUAAAGUUUCAUUAAGUUUGGAGCAUUUUGAAUUUUUUUACAUUUUAGUCAUUUCCAUGGUAACGGCAGCCAUUUUGAAAUUUCCAACUCCAAAAUGCAGUUCUGCCCAUGCCAG